UAUAGGAUUCCUUCCCAUUUGAUAUAAUUGUCUUAGUUUAAAAUGACCUAACGAAAAAUUUUUUUUUUUAACUUUUUUAACUCCUUAUUUUAUUUGUGUUUUGCAUAUCUGUUGAAUAUUACAUGAUUUAUUAAUUUGUUAGAAGUUUAUUUAAGAAAAUUAACUCAAUUUAAUUCCGAGUUCGACCCUGCUGUCCAAAUAAUCUGUUUCCAUUGAAUGAUUUGGAGCAUGCGUAUUGAGUUUGUUUACAUCGACAAUUUGUGUACAUUGAUUCACUUUCAAAAAUUGUGGAAAAAUUUUGAAUUGUUACAUUGACACUUGAAUUGUUACACAUUUGUUAAUUAAGUUAAAUACACACGAGAUGGCGACCGCACAAAUUGAAAGAUUUGAUUUAAAGACGCCUGAAUUUGAUCUGUCCAGUUUGCAGGAAGAACCGUUGACGAAGAGUGUGAAAAUCGCAGAUAUGUCUCGUUUAAACACACCGAAGCCCGUUAUGCAUUUGGGCUCCUCAACGGAGUUUCAACGGCAAGGAACUGCAAUGCCAAGAACACCAUAUAAGCCAGGCACUGGUUACAGAUCUGGGACAGGCUUCAAACCCACCACCAACUUCAAACCCAGCGCCACCGCUAAACCGGGCACUGGUUUCAGGCCAGGUACAGGAAUUGAUGUAGUUAACAGACCUAUGACGGCAGUGCGAGGAGCUGGAUAUACCUCUCAUGGUAAACCAUUUGAUCCUCUCAACCAGGCGGGGGCGGCGCCCACUCCUCCACUUGAACUUCAAAAAGAAGACACACCAGAGGAGAAAAUAAAACAACAAGAGGCCAAAAUCAUGCAGUUGGUGGAGGAAUCAUGUUUGGCUAAUGCUGAAAAUGAUAACAGAAAAGCUUUGUCCAAAGCUAAAGAAGCUUCAAACAAAGAACGCGCUCUUAUUCGCAUGCAGGAACAGGCUGGACUUGGUGAUCAUCACAAUAUUGAUCUUACUUAUGCUGUGCUCUUCACGUUAGCUAAUCAAUAUGCGGCAAACGAGCUCUAUACAGAAGCCCUGAACACUUAUCAAAUGAUUGUAAAGAACAGAAUGUUCUCAAAUGCACACCGUCUUAAGGUGAAUAUGGGCAAUGUGUACUAUAGACAGGGUCAGUACCAAAUGGCUGUGAAAUUGUAUCGCAUGGCUUUAGAUCAGGUACCAUCCAGCCAAAAGAACCUGCGCAUCAAGAUCAUGCAUAACAUCGCACUAGUUUUCAUUAAGAUGGGACAAUGGGAGGAGGCGGUUUCAUCGUUGGAAUAUAUCAUGAGUGAACAGGCAUGUCACAGAGCCGGAUUGCACCUAAUAGUGUGCUGUCGCGCGCUAGAGGAUCGAGAUCGCAUGAAAACUGCCUUUUCCAUGUUACUAGCGGUACCACUAGAUGUUGACGACGAAGACCGCUACGUCGCUGAUCAGGACGACCCGGAAGACGCACUGAUCGCCCUCGCCAUUCGUGACGACGACCUCCAUCGUUUCGAGACAAUGAAACGACGCGACGCUCAUUUCUGCAUUCUUACUGCUGCCAAACUGAUAGCCUCCCUCAUCGAAGACACGUUCGGCGAGGGUUACGACUGGUGCGUGGCGGCAAUCAAGAAUUCUGAGUAUGCAAAACUUGCCUCAGACCUCGAGAUCAACAAGGCGGUCAUGUUUCUUAAGCAACGUCAGCUUCAGGAUGCCAUCGAUACCUUGAAAGCUUUCGAGAAGGACUCUAACAUUGCGGCUAAUGCAGCCAUCAAUCUUACUUUCAUUUACUACCUGCAAGGAGACAUUGAAAACGCGAUUAAAUAUGGCGAAGUGAUAAAAACUUCAGGAGCUGAUAUUCCUGAAGGAUAUGUGAACUACGGCGCCUGUCUGUUGACGAAAGGUCGGCAUGAUGAAGCCGCCGAAUGUUUCCGCAAGGCUCUUGAACUCAACUCAACCCAUUUCGAAGCGAUCUACAAUCUCGGCUUGACAUUAAAGCGUCAAGGUCGGUACCGCGAAGCACUGGCGUGUUUCCAGCGGUUUUCUGGGUCUUUGGCCUUAUUGCCCGCAGUUGUUUACCAAGUAGGACAUUUGUUGGAAUUGAUUGGAGAUGUGGAGGCGGCUUCUGAUACCUAUCAGCAGUUGCUGGGUUUGGUUCCGGCUGACGCGUCUGCCCUCCGUACCCUUGCUGAGCUGUAUGAUCAUGAGGGCGACAAGCAACAAGCCCACCAUUAUCACGUGGAGUCAUACCGGUACUAUCCAGGCAGCUUACCAGUAAUCGAGUGGCUGGGCUCGUACUACAUAGAAAUGCAAGUGGUAGAACGGGCACUUUCAUAUUUCGAACGGGCCGCCCUUCUACAACCCAACGAACCGAAGUGGAGCAUGAUGGUGGCGGGCUGUCACAGAAGGGGUGGAAAUAUGCACAAGGCUCUUACCAUGUACCAACGCGUUCAUGCCCUUCAUCCCGACAACGCGGAAUGCUUACGUUUUCUGGUGCGCCUUUGUACCGAGCUAGGUAUGCGGGAGGCGCAGGAUUACGUGCUUGAGCUCAAGCGUUUGGAGAAAGCUCGAGAGGUACGUGAUCGCCUUGGCAGCGGUCGGCCGGCGUCGUCACGACGCACUAACAGUGGCUUGUCGUCGAGAACUGGCUCCUCAGGAUUUACGCCGGUACGAGAAGAAGAGGUCGCAGUGAUCAGUCCUGGGCACUCCGCAGGUGCAGCUCGCCAACGAGAUUCGAGGGCUGUACACGCUGUGUCUGGCCCAGAUUCCGGUUACGGACACUCGGCGAUGGGUAAUAUUUUUGAUGUAUUCAAAACAAUUAUCAGAUUUUUGAAUACUUGAUGUUAAUCAAUGCACCACUGAAUAUGUUGGAGUACCCAUUAGGAAAUGCACCAAAACAUUUAUUUUUCUAAUGUUUGAAUGAUGGAAGUUAUGUCGAUCCUCUUGGUCCGCAACCUUUUCGCCCAAGGACUGGGGCAGGAAAGCCUCUGGAUUUUGAUGAUUUUACUAAUGAGGAACUGGGUGACGACCUGUUACCAGAAUAAUUACUCAUUUAAUAGUUUUAUAUAUUUACACAUUGAAUUAUUUAAAAUCACCAUGAAUUUCAACUA